AGCCGGUAUUAUUUUAUAUUAAAACUCACUAACAUUCUUCUUUACUAUUUUCCAAGAGUUUUACGAAACAAACUUCCUGUUUGCUGAACCAGUGAAGUGAUGCUUUUACUGUAUUCAACCGAACCGUUUAUCGAGUUUAUUCAAG